UGGGGAAUAUUGCACAAUGGGGGAAACCCUGAUGCAGCGACGCCGCGUGGAGGAUGACGGCCUUCGGGUUGUAAACUCCUUUUGUCAGGGACAAUGGUGAUGGUACCUGACGUAUAAGCCACGGCUAACUCCGUGCCAGCAGCCGCGGUAAGACAGAGGUGGCGAGCGUUGUUCGGAAUUACUGGGCUUAAAGGGCGCGUAGGCGGUGGUGUAAGUCUGGGGUGGAAUGCUACAGCUCAACUGUAGAGCUGCCUUGGAAACUGCAUUACUUGAGUCGGUGAGGGGAAGCGGAAUUCCUGGUGUAGCGGUGAAAUGCGUAGAUAUCAGGAGGAAGGUCUGUGGCGAAGGCGGCCUUCUGGCACUUGACUGACGCUGAGGCGCGAAAGCGUGGGGAGCGAAA
rnacentral:rRNA from 1 species